rnacentral:rRNA from 1 species
CCUACGGGCGGCUGCAGUGAGGAAUAUUGGUCAAUGGGCGGGAGCCUGAACCAGCCAAGUCGCGUGAGGGAAGACGGUCCUAUGGAUUGUAAACCUCUUUAGGCGGGGAGCAAUGCCGGGCACGCGUGCCCGGAGGGAGAGUACCCGCAGAAUAAGCAUCGGCUAACUCCGUGCCAGCAGCCGCGGUAAUACGGAGGAUGCGAGCGUUAUCCGGAUGUAUUGGGUUUAAAGGGUGCGGAGGCGGAUUUUUAAGUCAGCGGUAAAAUGUCCGGGCUCAACCCGGGCCGGCCGUUGAAACUGGGGAUCUUGAGUGGGCGAGAAGUAUGCGGAAUGCGUGGUGUAGCGGUGAAACGCAUAGAUAUCACGCAGAACUCCGAUUGCGAAGGCAGCAUACCGGCGCCCGACUGACGCUGAGGCACGAAAGCGUGGGGAUCGAACAGGAUUAGAUACCCGAGUAGUC